rnacentral:tRNA from 1 species
GGGUAUGGCUCAGUGGUAGAGCUCUUGCCUAGCAUAUGUGAAGCACUGAGUUCGAUUCUCAGCACUGGGUGCUCA